UCGCCUCCCUCCACUUCCUUCCGAUCCCUCUUCACCCGAGACCAGAGCUCGCCCUCGUCGAUCGCCCGCGCGCCGCUCAGCCAAGAAGCCGCACGACGGCGUUGGCGCAUUGCCCCGGAGAGGCCCGCCGACCGAUGAAGCCGCUGUACCUGCGUGGCAGCGGCAGCUUCAAGAGGCUGCUGCUCUCCCUCUCGCCGCACCGCGCCAAGCGCGUCCACGCGCCCCCCGACGUAGAGCACGCCAGCGCGCAGACGGAGGCAGCGUCGCCGCCGCCGCCGGAGCGGAGGCCCGAGUGGGAGUGCUUCUCGUACGAGGAGGUCCGGCGCGCCACGGGCGGCUUCCGCGCGGCCAACCUGGUGGGCCGGGGCGGGUCGUCGGAGGUGUACCGCGGCGAGCUGGCGGACGGGCGGGCCGUGGCGGUGAAGCGGCUCCUGGGCGCGUCCGCCUGCGAGCGCCGGGAGCGGGACUUCCUGGCGGAGCUCGGCACCGUCGGCCACGCCCGGCACCCCAACGUGUGCCCGCUCCUGGGAUGCUGCGUCGACCGCGACCUCUACCUCGUCUUCGCCUUCUCCGCCCGCGGCUCCGUCUCCGCCAACCUCCACGGCGGCGAGGAGGGGGCGCCGGCGAUGGGGUGGGAGGCGCGGUACGGCGUGGCGGUGGGCACGGCGAGGGGGCUGGAGUACCUGCACAAGGGCUGCCGGCGGCGGAUCAUCCACCGGGACAUCAAGGCCUCCAACGUGCUGCUCACCGACGACUUCCAGCCCCAGAUCUCCGACUUCGGGCUGGCCAAGUGGCUGCCGACGGAGUGGACGCACCGGGCGAUCGCGCCGAUCGAGGGCACCUUCGGGUGCCUGGCGCCCGAGUACUACACGCGCGGCAUCGUGGACGAGAAGACGGACGUGUUCGCCUUCGGCGUCUUCCUGCUGGAGCUCAUGGCCGGCCGCAAGCCGGUGGACGGCACCCACAGGAGCCUCCUCGGCUGGGCGAGGCCCCUGCUGAGCGAGGGCAAGACGGAGGCGCUGCUGGACCCGAGGAUCCUCGCCGGCGGCAAUGGCGGCUACGACGCCGAGCAGGCCCGGCGGCUGGCGUUCGUGGCGUCGCUGUGCGUCCGCGCGUCGGCGACGUGGAGGCCGUCCAUGACAGAGGUCCUGGACCUGCUGGAGGGCGCGGAGAUCACGGAGGAGCGGUGGGCGAUGCCGGAGCCGGCGGCCGGGGACGACGAGGGGGAGGAAAUGUGGGGCUUCGACGACCUCGACGACGACGAGGAGGAAUCCGGCACGCCGUCCCCUUUGUCAACGUCCUCGGCCUCGAGCGCUUAGCCCGGGCUAAGAUUGCGUGAGGCGACCGUGAUGCUUGCUGAGAAUUUUGCUCCUUCCCGCCUGCCCCGUUCGUUGUCGAGGUUGUGAAUACAAAGGUUAUCUGUGAGAGGCAAGUAAAAACCACCCCCGUAUGCUGACCACGACACGGACGGAAAAGAUGGUGGUGCUCGCGUGCAAUGCGUAAUGCAAAGCAGACCGAGGGUUUUGUCGGGCACGGUUCAGGGAAAGAGACCGACCGACCGACCUGCCUGCCCUACCAAGAGUGGUACCUGGCUGCUCCGGUUGGGUUGGGUUGGGUACUUGGAUUCCAGUUUGUAUGGACGCAUGCAGUUGGUUCGUUGUUGCCAGGUGUGCGUGCCGCUUUCAGUAUACUCUACUCUGGUAGCGCAUUCGUGGCCACGACACGCGGUGCAGCGCCGUGGCAUGGCGGUUCGGGACAGGUUGAGCUGUGCCCCUGCCCUGGCUCCUUGCACACCUCUUGGACGGACCCCGGAAUGGAGCGGCAUGCUCCUCAUAAAAGGCGAGGGGAACAGGGACCGGUCGAUCAUGUGGCCGUGAGUGUGGGCAAGUGCAGCAGGUGUUCUCUUCUCUCCUCGGGCAGCUUCCCAUGCAAGGUGUUCGUCUUCUGCGACAACUUGCUUAUCAGUAACAUGUAUCAACGCGAGGUUGGUUGACAAGCAACCUCUUCCUUCUCUUUCUUUUAUUAAAAACUGAAAGCAACCUGUGCUGAAAAGGGGAGUACUAAAGUGGGAUACAGUCGCGUUGGCCUGUAGCUGCACGCACUGUCACCGGAUCAUUGGUGCGUGCGUGCGUGCUCCUCACUCCUAAAUACU